CCUACGGGUGGCAGCAGUGAGGAAUAUUGGUCAAUGGACGAGAGUCUGAACCAGCCAAGUCGCGUGAGGGAUGAAUGUCCUAUGGGUUGUAAACCUCUUUUAUAAGGGAAUAAAACGCGGGACGUGUGCCUUUUUGCAUGUACUUUAUGAAUAAGGAUCGGCUAACUCCGUGCCAGCAGCCGCGGUAAUACGGAGGAUCCGAGCGUUAUCCGGAUUUAUUGGGUUUAAAGGGUGCUUAGUCGGGCUUUUAAGUCAGCGGUGAAAGUCUGUGGCUCAACCGUAAAAUUGCAGUUGAUACUGGCAGGCUUGAGUACAUUUGAGGCAGGCGGAAUGCGUGGUGUAGCGGUGAAAUGCUUAGAUAUCACGAAGAACCCCGAUUGCGAAGGCAGCCUGCCAAGCCAUGACUGACGCUGAUGCACGAAAGUGUGGGGAUCAAACAGGAUUAGAUACCCCUGUAGUC
rnacentral:rRNA from 1 species